AACGAACGCUGGCGGCAGGCUUAACACACGCAAGUCGAGCGCCCCGCAAGGGGAGCGGCAGACGGGUGAGUAACGCGUGGGAAUCUACCCAUCACUACGGAACAACUCCGGGAAACUGGAGCUAAUACCGUAUACGUCCUUCGGGAGAAAGAUUUAUCGGUGAUGGAUGAGCCCGCGUUGGAUUAGCUAGUUGGUGGGGUAAUGGCCUACCAAGGCGACGAUCCAUAGCUGGUCUGAGAGGAUGAUCAGCCACACUGGGACUGAGACACGGCCCAGACUCCUACGGGAGGCAGCAGUGGGGAAUAUUGGACAAUGGGCGAAAGCCUGAUCCAGCCAUGCCGCGUGAGUGAUGACGGCCCUAGGGUUGUAAAGCUCUUUCGCAGGUGAAGAUAAUGACGGUAACCUGAGAAGAAGCCCCGGCUAACUUCGUGCCAGCCGCCGCAGUAAAAC
rnacentral:rRNA from 1 species